CAAUAGCGUAUAUUAAAGUUGUUGCAGUUAAAAAGCUCGUAGUUGGAUUUCGGGGCAGCCUGGCUGGUCCGCCGCAAGGCGAGUACUGGUCAGCCGCCCUUCCUCUCGAAAGCCCCGACUGCUCUUCGUUGCAGUGGUCGGGUAGUUCGGGACGUUUACUUUGAAAAAAUUAGAGUGUUCAAGGCAGGCCUACGCCUGAAUACAUUAGCAUGGAAUAAUGGAAGAGGACCUCGGUCCUAUUUUGUUGGUUUCCAGGGCCGAAGUAAUGAUUAAGAGGGACAGUUGGGGGCAUUCGUAGUUAAUUGUCAGAGGUGAAAUUCUCGGAUUUAUGAAAGACGAACAACUGCGAAAGCAUUUGCCAAGGAUGUUUUCAUUAA
rnacentral:rRNA from 1 species